AGACCCGAAACCCGGUGAUCUAGCCAUGGGCAGGUUGAAGGUUGGGUAACACUAACUGGAGGACCGAACCGACUAAUGUUGAAAAAUUAGCGGAUGACCUGUGGCUGGGGGUGAAAGGCCAAUCAAACCGGGAGAUAGCUGGUUCUCCCCGAAAGCUAUUUAGGUAGCGCCUCGUGAAUUCAUCUCCGGGGGUAGAGCACUGUUUCGGCUAGGGGGCCAUCCCGGCUUACCAACCCGAUGCAAACUGCGAAUACCGGAGAAUGUUAUCACGGGAGACACACGGCGGGUGCUAACGUCCGUCGUGAAGAGGGAAACAACCCAGACCGCCAGCUAAGGUCCCAAAGUCAUGGUUAAGUGGGAAACGAUGUGGGAAGGCCCAGACAGCCAGGAUGUUGGCUUAGAAGCAGCCAUCAUUUAAAGAAAGCGUAAUAGCUCACUGGUCGAGUCGGCCUGCGCGGAAGAUGUAACGGGGCUAAACCAUGCACCGAAGCUGCGGCAGCGAACGUAUCACCCAAGACAACUUUACGGAGUUGACGAUUGACGGAGCGAAGCGACGUCAAAGCGUUCAUUAAAGUCGAGUUGGCUUAGGGAUACGUUCGUUGGGUAGGGGAGCGUUCUGUAAGCCUGUGAAGGUGUGUCGUGAGGCAUGCUGGAGGUAUCAGAAGUGCGAAUGCUGACAUAAGUAACGAUAAAGCGGGUGAAAAGCCCGCUCGCCGGAAGACCAAGGGUUCCUGUCCAACGUUAAUCGGGGCAGGGUGAGUCGACCCCUAAGGCGAGGCCGAAAGGCGUAGUCGAUGGGAAACGGGUUAAUAUUCCCGUACUUGGUGUUACUGCGAAGGGGGGACGGAGAAGGCUAUGUUGGCCGGGCGACGGUUGUCCCGGUUUAAGCGUGUAGGUGUGUGUUCCAGGUAAAUCCGGUUCACUUUAACACUGAGGCGUGACGACGAGGCACUACGGUGCUGAAGCAACAAAUGCCCUGCUUCCAGGAAAAGCCU
rnacentral:rRNA from 1 species